CAAUAGCGUAUAUUAAAGUUGUUGCGGUAAAAAAGCUCGUAGUUGGAUUUCUACCGAAGAUAGCCGGUCGGGUCUUCGACCUUGUAUCUGGUUUUGUCUUUGGUAUCCUCAUAGGGAACGUUUCUGCGCUUUAUUGCGUGGUGCGGUAUCUAUGACUUUUACUUUGAGGAAAUUAGAGUGUUCACGGCAGGCAAACGCCUUGAAUAUAUUAGCAUGGAAUAAUAACAUAGGAUCUUUGUCCUAUUUUGUUGGUUUCUAGGGCUAAGAUAAUGAUUAAUAGGGAUAAUUGGGGGCAUCUGUAUCAACGCGUCAGAGGUGGAAUUCUUGGAUUGCGUUGCGACAAACUACUGCGAAAGCAUUUGCCAAGGAUGUUUUCAUUGA
rnacentral:rRNA from 1 species